CCAGAGAAUGACCAGAUACAAGUGAGGAGGUCAGAGAACGAAGGACUGGAUUCUAUAUGGAACGCAACCAAAAAUGGAAACCAAACCAACGAGAGGCAAAAGUCCAGUCCUUGCAUCUGUAACUCUGCCGGUUUAGAUCUCCCCACCUCAGCCUGGAUCCUCCUGGGCAGCCGUCUGUCCUCCGUCAUCAUCGCUCUGUCUGUCCUCCGUUUACACCACAAAAAAAAAACAAAACCCCACAGAGAUGUGAGAGGGGGAAGAAGCUGACCCCGGACAGAUGAAUGUGUAAAAAUGUUUCUUAUGAUAAAAAUAGGGCUUUCGUCUGAAACCAUAGAAACAUGUAAAAGAUAAUAACUGUGAGUUUAUGUAA